rnacentral:rRNA from 1 species
UACAGAGGUCUCAAGCGUUGUUCGGAUUCAUUGGGCGUAAAGAGCGUGUAGGCGGCUUGGUAGGUCUCGCGUCAAAACCUGAGGCUCAACCUCAGUUCGCGUGGGAAACCACCUAGCUAGAGUCCGGAAGAGGAGAACGGAAUUCCCAGUGUAGCGGUGAAAUGCGCAGAUAUUGGGAAGAACACCAGUGGCGAAGGCGGUUCUCUGGGACGGUACUGACGCUGAGACGCGAAAGCGUGGGGAGCGAACAGG